rnacentral:lncRNA from 1 species
AAUGAUGUGACUCUAUUUCACGUACAACCAGAGAAUUGAAAAAUUCUGCUCCAUUUAUGUACAAUGCAUCGAAGAGCUUUCUACUGUCAUGUAUAACUGAUUAGAACUAAUUUUUGAAAAAAGAAAAAAGAAAAUGAUUUAGGAUGAAGUGAAAAAGUACCUGCAGGUGAUCAGGGAAGGCCUCUCUGAGGAGGUGAUACCAGCUGAGGUCAAACAGAGCAGACCCUCUCAAGAUUCGGGAGUUCACAUUGACAUGGCAGGCGCCAGGGAGGUGCAGGAGUCAGCCCUGCAAGGUCAAUGCAUUAAGGCCCACCCUCUGGUUAAGAUCUGAGACAGCUAGAACUGGAAAGGUUCUUAGCUUCUGUGAAGAAGGGUUGUGAACUCCAGUGCCCACCAAGGCCAAGUGGAGAAGUCUCCCGGGAAGCCCUGGGGUUUGGCCCCAGCUCCAGCAACUGGAGUUAAGCUGGAGUAUAAGCCUCUUGGUGCCCAGUUGCGGAGGUGGUUUUCAAGGUUUUUUAUGGUUUACUUUUGUUUUGCUUUUAUGUUGCUAUCUGUAGUUUGCUCAGAGAUCUGGAUUUUUAUGUAAUGUGUCCCAUUGUUUAGAUCUGGCCGUUUACACUAAGCACAGUGUCAUGCGCCUAUAAUCCCAGCAAUUUGGGAGGCUGAAGCAGAAGGAUGGCAAGUUCAAAGCCAGCCUGAAUAACCUGGCAAGAUCCUGUCUCAAAAUUUUAAAAGGGCUGGAAUGUAGUUCAGUGGGAAAAUGCCCCUGGGAUUAACCCCCAGUAUAGCCAAAAAAAAGAAGAAGAAGGUUGUGAACUGUAUCAACAGUGUGAUUGGGAGUGUGGUUCAGGCAGAGCAAUUGCUUGCCAUGACUGAGGUCUUGGGUUCUAUCAUCAGCGUCACCAAAAAAAAAACGAUUCACAAAGAUUAGAAAAAUUGUCAUAGGUAGAAAUCAGGUUUAUGUUUUCACUGGGUGCUGCUGUCACAUUGUAUGAGCACAGUGCCUAGCAUAACUGUGUGUUGAAGAUUCAUAUGGAAAAGUUCACCUACAGAAGCACAAAGGCCAAUGUGUUGUUCCCAGUGGAGUAGAGCCUGUGGGUGCACUCAGGGUAAGCCAUGGCUCUCCUGCUUCCAGGAUGACAACCAUCCUGUUAACUCUUUAACAUGGUUUGGUUUUACAUAUGUUUUGUGCUAUUUAUAUUUUUUAAAGCAUGCUCUGUUUACUCUUUGUGUCUGGUUUCUCUUAUUAUAUAUUACAUUUUUAGAUCAUCCCUAUUAUCUCAUGGAGCUGUAGGAGAUGCAUUCUCGGGGCGUGUGU